rnacentral:rRNA from 1 species
AGGUUAAGUUACAAAGGGCGCACGGUGGAUGCCUUGGCACUAGGAGCCGAUGAAGGACGGAACUAAUACCGAUAUGCUUCGGGGAGCUAUAAGUAAGCUUUGAUCCGGAGAUUUCCGAAUGGGGGAACCCAGUACACAUCAGUGUAUUGCUUGUCAGUGAAUACAUAGCUGGCCGGCGGCAGACGCGGGGAACUGAAACAUCUCAGUACCCGCAGGAAGAGAAAGAAAACUCGAUUCCCAUAGUAGCGGCGAGCGAAGUGGGAAGAGCCCAAACCGAGAAGCUUGCUUCUCGGGGUUGUAGGACUGGACAUUGGAGUUACCAAAGUCCGACGUAGUCGAAGUCAGCUGGAAAGCUGCGCCACAGAAGGUGAAAGCCCUGUAAGCGAAACGUCGAACCCUCCGUCCAGGAUCCUGAGUACGGCGGAACACGUGAAAUUCCGUCGGAAUCCGGGAGGACCAUCUCCCAAGGCUAAAUACUCCCUAGUGACCGAUAGUGAACCAGUACCGUGAGGGAAAGGUGAAAAGCACCCCGGAAGGGGAGUGAAACAGUUCCUGAAACCGUGUGCCUACAAUUAGUCAAAGCCCGUUAAUGGGUAAUGGCGUGCCUUUUGUAGAAUGAACCGGCGAGUUACGUUUGCUUGCGAGGUUAAGAUGAAAAGUCGGAGCCGUAGCGAAAGCGAGUCUGAACAGGGCGAAUGAGUAAGCAGAUGUAGACCCGAAACCAAGUGACCUACCCAUGACCAGGUUGAAGGUGUGGUGAAACACACUGGAGGACCGAACCCAUGUAUGUUGAAAAAUGCUGGGAUGAGUUGUGGGUAGCGGUGAAAUUCCAAACGAACUUGGAGAUAGCUGGUUCUCUCCGAAAUAGCUUUAGGGUUAGCCUCGGAGGAUGGAUCAUGGAGGUAGAGCACUGUUUGAACUAGGGGCCCAUCAAGGGUUACUGAAUUCAGAUAAACUCCGAAUACCAUUGAUCUUACUCCGGGAGUCAGACAGUGAGCGAUAAGGUCCAUUGUCGAAAGGGGAACAGCCCAGAUCACCAGUUAAGGUCCCUAAAUUUAUGCUAAGUGGAAAAGGAUGUGGCGUUGCACAGACAACUAGGAUGUUGGCUCAGAAGCAGCCACCAUUUAAAGAGUGCGUAAUAGCUCACUAGUCGAGUGGCACUGCGCCGAAAAUAUACCGGGGCUAAGCAUAAUACCGAAACUGUGGGUGCACCCGUAAGGGUGCGCGGUAGGAGAGCGUUCUAAGGGCGUUGAAGGUCGAUCGUGAGGACGGCUGGAGCGCUUAGAAGUGAGAAUGCCGGCAUGAGUAGCGAAAGAUCAGUGAGAAUCUGAUCCACCGUAUGACUAAGGUUUCCUGGGGAAGGCUCGUCCUCCCAGGGUUAGUCGGGAUCUAAGGCGAGGCCGAGAGGCGUAGUCGAUGACAAGCAGGUUGAGAUUCCUGCACUAGUUUAUUUUGUUUAAGCGAUGGAGGGACGCAGGAGGCUAAGGAAAGCGCACGGCUGGAAAUGUGCGCCCAAGCAGCAAGUCUGACAG